rnacentral:rRNA from 1 species
AGAGUUUGAUCCUGGCUCAGGAUGAACACUAGCUACAGGCUUAACACAUGCAAGUCGAGGGGCAUCAGGAAGAAAGCUUGCUUUCUUUGCUGGCGACCGGCGCACGGGUGAGUAACACGUAUCCAACCUGCCCUUUACUCGGGGAUAGCCUUUCGAAAGAAAGAUUAAUACCCGAUGGCAUAAUGAUUCCGCAUGGUUUCAUUAUUAAAGGAUUCCGGUAAAGGAUGGGGAUGCGUUCCAUUAGGUUGUUGGUGAGGUAACGGCUCACCAAGCCUUCGAUGGAUAGGGGUUCUGAGAGGAAGGUCCCCCACAUUGGAACUGAGACACGGUCCAAACUCCUACGGGAGGCAGCAGUGAGGAAUAUUGGUCAAUGGGCGCUGGCCUGAACCAGCCAAGUAGCGUGAAGGAUGAAGGCUCUAUGGGUCGUAAACUUCUUUUAUAUAAGAAUAAAGUGCAGUAUGUAUACUGUUUUGUAUGUAUUAUAUGAAUAAGGAUCGGCUAACUCCGUGCCAGCAGCCGCGGUAAUACGGAGGAUCCGAGCGUUAUCCGGAUUUAUUGGGUUUAAAGGGAGCGUAGGUGGACUGGUAAGUCAGUUGUGAAAGUUUGCGGCUCAACCGUAAAAUUGCAGUUGAUACUGUCAGUCUUGAGUACAGUAGAGGUGGGCGGAAUUCGUGGUGUAGCGGUGAAAUGCUUAGAUAUCACGAAGAACUCCGAUUGCGAAGGCAGCUCACUGGACUGCAACUGACACUGAUGCUCGAAAGUGUGGGUAUCAAACAGGAUUAGAUACCCUGGUAGUCCACACAGUAAACGAUGAAUACUCGCUGUUUGCGAUAUACAGUAAGCGGCCAAGCGAAAGCAUUAAGUAUUCCACCUGGGGAGUACGCCGGCAACGGUGAAACUCAAAGGAAUUGACGGGGGCCCGCACAAGCGGAGGAACAUGUGGUUUAAUUCGAUGAUACGCGAGGAACCUUACCCGGGCUUAAAUUGCAGUGGAAUGAUGUGGAAACAUGUCAGUGAGCAAUCACCGCUGUGAAGGUGCUGCAUGGUUGUCGUCAGCUCGUGCCGUGAGGUGUCGGCUUAAGUGCCAUAACGAGCGCAACCCUUAUCUUUAGUUACUAACAGGUCAUGCUGAGGACUCUGGAGAGACUGCCGUCGUAAGAUGUGAGGAAGGUGGGGAUGACGUCAAAUCAGCACGGCCCUUACGUCCGGGGCUACACACGUGUUACAAUGGGGGGUACAGAAGGCAGCUAGCGGGUGACCGUAUGCUAAUCCCAAAAGCCUCUCUCAGUUCGGAUCGAAGUCUGCAACCCGACUUCGUGAAGCUGGAUUCGCUAGUAAUCGCGCAUCAGCCACGGCGCGGUGAAUACGUUCCCGGGCCUUGUACACACCGCCCGUCAAGCCAUGGGAGCCGGGGGUACCUGAAGUACGUAACCGCAAGGAUCGUCCUAGGGUAAAACUGGUGACUGGGGCUAAGUCGUAACAAGGUAGCC